CUAAAUGAAAAAGGUAGGGCCAAGUCAGUACUAACAGAUUCCUUUAAUUUAUUGAUAGAAUCAGUGGAAUUUUUAACUAUAUGCCAACAGUAAAAGUUUAACAUAAUUAGCAAAAAUUCUGACCCUAGAUUUCCUUGACAACAUGUUCCAUGCCAACAGCAUUCUGUUGUUGUGCUAGCAGAGCAAGCCAGAACUCCUAGACACUUGUCUUCAGGAACGAUGGGACUGAGCUGUGACUUCCGUAAUGAGGUUGGAAUUUAACGGAAGCACAUAUCAUGGUUAUGCGGCAAAAUUUUAGCCUUUCACAAGGAGAACAGGAAAUACUGCAGGGCUGGAAACGUUUUCGUACAACACAGACAAGCACCAGACUGAUAAUACCACCAAGGAGCUCCUGGUUUUCUCGUGAGCCUCAGCUGAGGUACAAAAAUUUAUUUUUUUGUAUGGGGGAAAAAUAUUUUAAGGCAGAUUAUAUAUUUCUGAGCAACAUCUAAAAAUGUUACUUACUGGGAGCUCAGGAAGAGACUGUAGGUAGCCACCACAGAAAUUGGGAGAUGUUUGGUCUAUUUUCCAAGCUUUUUACCAACAUUUUACCAAGUGAGGAUUUCAAACAUGUUGUAUGCUUCCUGACUGUCCAAAGUCUCACAACUAAGUUACAGCUUAGGAUUCUUGUCGGUCAGUUGCCUCUCCACCCAGAGAUGUGUGAAGCAGAAAACUUAUCCUAUGUAGAAAACAGGGAACUGUACAGUUAGUUGCCUCUUGAAAUGUAGACUUCCAGAGACGAACCCUACAUACAUUUUGGUACUACAAAAUGACCGGAGGAGUGUUCCACUGCGGGAAUGGGUUGAUUACAACUUCUUAAGCAAAUGCCACCAAAGACUCCAGGAACUGAGAUCACAAAGAUGCCCGAAGUGUGUUUGCUCCUCUCUAGAUCUUUUGGAAAAAAAUUUUUUUCCAUUUUGUG
rnacentral:lncRNA from 1 species